GAGUCCGUGCGUUUGUGGAUGACGGGCGGAUGCCCUGACUCUGUGUUGCCUCGAUCGAGGGGAUGCCCUGGCCAACUCCUUUCCUCCCCUCUCCUCCGCUCCUCUUCCUGCGAUUCUCCACUGACGACAAGCAGUCCAGACUGCUCCCUAAUGCAGGUUGGCUAGGAGUUCCUCUCCCGGAGCUUUUGUCGCUUCGUUGGAGCAGUCCACACAGCAGGCACACGCGGCCAUUGUCGACUCCCCGUGCAGUACACUUUUGUGUUGUGAGGCGGGCAUCGUCGGGAUUCGUCAGUAGGCUCCAAAUCUUGUGUUCAUUUCAUUUUCUGUAUUGGUGCAGUACAUUGCAACCUCCAGCCCCGGCUAGCUACUGUCUCGCGCAGGCGUGCCCAGCCGCCGCAGCUAGUGCGGUCAGCCCGUCGCCUUUUUUAGAAGAGAGUUAAUCCAUCCGACCAUCCCCCUGCCCCCAUUGUUGCUCUGAUUUAGACAAAUUUACAUGGAGGUUGACUAGAUAUUUUGUACGAAUUCUGAAUUUUUCACCUGUGGCGCGUGUAGAGCAAACUACAUUCAGUAGAGGUAUGCUCCUUGGCUCUUCACAUCCAUCGCGCUCCUUGGCAGGUUGGCUUUACUGGAGGCGUGUAGCAGGCUAACAGCCACGGUUUCAAUUUGUGAGAGACCCGAUUUCAAACAAUGAAGCAUAUAUAUAUACUUGCUGCUAGACUUAUUAUUGCUUCGGCUGGCAGCGACGAGAAGUGCUGAUUUUCUAACAUGAGCAAGUUUAGAAAAAGACAUAAUUAAGAAUUGUAGUAUGCCUAUAAAACCAUAUUCGACCAAAUUGAUAUAUUUAUAAUUCUAUGUGGUAUUGGUAAACUAAUUAGAAUGUACACAUGUCAUAUUUGUUCCAAUUUUUUCUAGUGGACCAACCUGGUUUAAAAUCCUAGAUCCGACACUGCCUCCAGUGCAGCUCCGUCGUGUGCAUGUUGACGCCUCCUGCAGCUCACUGACGCCGGCGUGCAUGAUAGCCCCGUCUCUCUUUCACAUCUGCUCCUCUCGUGUUGUUCUUCACUGAUGCAGUACAUGUCGCUCCCCGAUGCAGGUCAUCUCGAUCGUCGAUGCAGUCCAUUGGCGCACAAAAUUGUUUGUGUGGGCAAAAGCAAUUUUGUAAUGUGCAGGGCUAUUUACGAUGUGUGAUAUUCUUACUGAAGCACUGAUCCAGAUAGGAACAUGAAGCGGCGCUGCAGCUCGGGGCUACUGCUGCUGCUCGGAGGCCCGACAAUUUUCGCUGCUGCCCGAUGGCUCCACCGACCGGCAGCGUCGACACCCCAGUGGCUCCCGCUAUUGCUCGGCGGUCCGACGUCUCUCGGUGCUACUCGAUGGCUCCCUCUGCACCCGUGCGUCUAAUGCUGCUUCUUGGUGUACGGCGGCUUUCUCUGCUGCUCGGUGGCAUGGCAGCCACCCGACGACUAGGUUAUAUCCGUCGAUGGGCAAAAUUGUUUGUGCGGGCAAAAGCAGUCCGCCACCGGUGUACAAUGCAGUUCCCUUUGAUUUCUUUUUUCAUUUCGAUUUGAGUGGGUUUUAUGUAAAUUUGCAGGGCUAUUUUUUGUAAGUUUUAUAAAAUGAAGUUCGAUAACAAA